AGGUAAUUUGAGUCACUAGCUUAUCAGUUCGAACCAAAUCAGCUUGACCCUUAUAUUCUUUGAAUUGAUAUUCUAAUAACACGUUGUUUAGUCUUAAGUGAAAAUCAUUAUAGUUGUGCGUUUUCUGUUGUUAUGUGCAAAUGCCAACAAUUUUAUUACUAAUAAAGAAGCUAUUGCCGUGCCCAAAUUUACUAUUUAUUGGCUUUUAAAUUAUAGGAGUUCCAGCGUUAACUAUGAUCUGGCAUACUGCAUGUAUGUGUACUGGCACUAAACUUAAAUUCUUGGAAUCAUAUCAUUUGAUGAUCUAUUGUUGCACAUUGAUGAGUUAAUGCUCUGCUUCUUUUUUGUUUGUCACUAUGCAAACAAAGGUCAAGAGGCACACAUACAUGUUCUACUACACUUUUGAUUAUGAACCCAGACUAAUAACACUUGUUAUCUAUGAAAUUUCUAUGAAAUUUGAGCCAGCUGAUAGCAA